UACAGAGGUGGCAAGCGUUGUUCGGAAUUACUGGGCGUAAAGGGCGCGUAGGCGGUCUUGCAAGUCCUGUGUGAAAUCCCUCGGCUCAACUGAGGAACUGCACAGGAAACUGCUUGGCUUGAGUUCGGGAGAGGGAAGCGGAAUUCCGGGUGUAGCGGUGAAAUGCGUAGAUAUCGGGAGGAACACCAAUGGCGAAGGCAGCUCGCUGGGACGGUACUGACGCUGAGACGCGAAAGCGUGGGGAGCAAACAGG
rnacentral:rRNA from 1 species